rnacentral:rRNA from 1 species
UACGAAGGGAGCUAGCGUUGUUCGGAAUCACUGGGCGUAAAGCGCACGUAGGCGGAUUUGUCAGUCAGGGGUGAAAUCCCGGGGCUCAACCUCGGAACUGCCUUUGAUACAGCAAGUCUUGAGUUCGUGAGAGGUGGGUGGAAUUCCUAGUGUAGAGGUGAAAUUCGUAGAUAUUAGGAAGAACACCGAUGGCGAAGGCGGCCCCCUGGGUCGAUACUGACGCUGAGGUGCGAAAGCGUGGGGAGCAAACAGG